rnacentral:rRNA from 1 species
UACGUAGGGUGCAAGCGUUGUCCGGAAUUAUUGGGCGUAAAGAGCUCGUAGGCGGCUGCUCAAGUCGAAUGUGAAAACUCGAGGCUCAACCUCGAGCCUGCAUUCGAUACUGGGCGGCUAGAGUCUGGUAGGGGGAUCUGGAAUUCCUGGUGUAGCGGUGGAAUGCGCAGAUAUCAGGAGGAACACCGGUGGCGAAGGCGGGAUCCUGGGCCAGUACUGACGCUGAGGAGCGAAAGCGUGGGGAGCAAACAGG